rnacentral:lncRNA from 1 species
UAACAAUUAAUUUUUUUUCUUGUCCUCUCUCUCUUUCUCUCUCUGCAUCUCUCACUUCCCUUUUGACAAACCACAGACUCACUCACACACUCUUACUUCCCUUUUGAUAAACCACAGAAUCACACCCACAGUCAACAAUCACCCACGCACUCUUACUUUCCUUUUGACAAACCACAUACGACGGACGAGCCCACAAACGACGGACCACCACCAUCACGUUAUCGAGGGAGUAGAACUCACGCGGUGGUGCAUCCAAACUCCAACGAAAUCGAUGGUGACGGGGGUGGUUGGAGCCGCGGUUCUUUCGAGCUAAAUCUCCGGCGUUCCUGUUGGCUUUCGGCGGCGAGGAUGGCAAAGAAACGACAGUCGGCUUCCAAGCUUCAGAUCAAUACCUUGAUCGGCCAGUAGAGUGGCCGGGAUCGUGAAAUCCAACCGGGUCACGUUCGCGGGUUGGGUCGGGUUUGCGGUUCUUUCGAGCUAAAUCGCCGGCGUUCCUGUUGGUUUUCGGCAGCAAUGAUGGUAGGGAAACGACAACCGGCUUCCAAGCUUCAUAUCAAUACCUUGAUCGGUCGGUAGAGUGGCCGGGAUCGUGAAAUCCAACCAAGUCACAUUCGCAGGUCGGGUUGAGUUCGCGGGUCAAACUAGGUCAACUUCUCUCCCUCCUCAUCUCCUCAUCCACUCACAAAGCGCCACACCACGGCUCCCCUUAGCCAGGUUGUCGCUGCUUGAAUUAUUUUUUGCUGGAAGUGUUACUGGAAUUGUUUUUGCUGAAAGUGUUACUGGUGCUGGAAUUGAUGUUGGAGUUGUUACUGCUGGAAUGUUUUUUGCUGGAAGUGUUACUGGUGCUGGAGUUGGUGCUCGAAUUUGUUGCUGGAAUUUUUUUUUUUUUUUUGGUGUUUGUGUGUGUGAACUCCUGAUUGUUUUUGUUUGUCUCUGUUUCUAUUCCUGUCUCAACUACAAGCUUCUGUAAUCAGUGUUUGGCUUGGGCACAAAAUCAACGUUUGUAAUAGAGAUAAUCAAUAAAAGUCAGUUCAGUUUUCCAAUUUUGUCAGUUUGGCCUGGCCACAAAAUUUUUUAUGUUCUGAUUUAUUUUCGAAACAGAGCAGAGCUCACAACGUGCUGCCCAGCUGAAAUGAAUUGAAGCAGAGCAGAGCGACAUCAUUUGAUGAAAAGGGAAUGCUCACAUGGUGCUGAGCUGAAAUUAAAAGGAAAAAGGAUUAAAGAACGAUGUCGUUUUUACAAUAUUCG